rnacentral:rRNA from 1 species
CUCAAUGUUCUUUCCAUCGAGACAUUCAACCGCCUCCAAGUACCCUAUCAUCAGCUGCAGCCUACCAAUCCUUUAUCAGGAGCGACCGACGGCUCCACCACCCCGAUAGGGCAGAUUCGCCUCCCUGUCACCUUCGGCCAGCGUGACAACUACCGCACAGAGCUCAUCGACUUUGACGUCGCCCACAUCCACCUUCCGUACAACGCCAUCCUUGGAUAUCCAGCCCUGGCCAAGUUCAUGGUGGUGACUCAUCAUGGUUACAAUGUUCUCAAGAUGCCAGGAAAUCGCGACAUCAUCACGAUCGCCUACGAGGAGAAGGACGCGGUAUGUUCUCUUGAGCGUGCUUACCAGGCUACAGCGGUCGAGGAUCCAGACAACGAAGGCACCGUCAACCCU